AACUAAGCAUAUCAAUAAGCGGAGGAAAAGAAACCAACAGGGAUUGCCCUAGUAACGGCGAGUGAAGCGGCAACAGCUCAAAUUUGAAAUCUGGCUCUUUUAGGGUCCGAGUUGUAAUUUGCAGAGGGCGCUUUGGCGUUGGCAGCGGUCCAAGUUCUUUGGAACAGGACGUCACAGAGGGUGAGAAUCCCGUACGUGGUCGCUAUCCUUCGCCGUGUAAAGCCCCUUCGACGAGUCGAGUUGUUUGGGAAUGCAGCUCUAAAUGGGAGGUAAAUUUCUUCUAAAGCUAAAUACUGGCCAGAGACCGAUAGCGCACAAGUAGAGUGAUCGAAAGAUGAAAAGCACUUUGGAAAGAGAGUCAAAUAGCACGUGAAAUUGUUGAAAGGGAAGCGCUUGCAGCCAGACUUGCCUGUAGUUGCUUAUCCGGACUUUUGUCCGGUGCACUCUUCUGCGGGCAGGCCAGCAUCAGUUUGGGCAGUUGGAUAAAGGUCUCUGUCAUGUACCUCUCUUCGGGGAGGCCUUAUAGGGGAGACGACAUGCAACUAGCCUGGACUGAGGUCCGCGCAUCUGCUAGGAUGCUGGCGUAAUGGCUGUAAGCGGCCCGUCUUGAAACACGGACCAAGGAGUCUAACAUCUAUGCGAGUGUUUGGGUGUCAAGCCCAGACGCGUAAUGAAAGUGAACGGAGGUGGGAACCCUUUGGGUGCACCAUCGACCGAUCCUGAUGUUUUCGGAAGGAUUUGAGUAAGAGCAUGGCUGUUGGGACCCGAAAGAUGGUGAACUAUGCUUGAAUAGGGUGAAGCCAGAGGAAACUCUGGUGGAGGCUCGCAGCGGUUCUGACGUGCAAAUCGAUCGUCAAAUUUGGGCAUAGGGGCGAAAGACUAAUCGAACUAUCUAGUAGCUGGUUCCUGCCGA
rnacentral:rRNA from 1 species